UGGGGAAUUUUGGACAAUGGGGGAAACCCUGAUCCAGCCAUCCCGCGUGUGCGAUGAAGGCCUUCGGGUUGUAAAGCACUUUUGGCAGGAAAGAAACGUCGCGGGUUAAUACCCCGCGGAACUGACGGUACCUGCAGAAUAAGCACCGGCUAACUACGUGCCAGCAGCCGCGGUAAUACGUAGGGUGCAAGCGUUAAUCGGAAUUACUGGGCGUAAAGCGUGCGCAGGCGGUUCGGAAAGGAAAGAUGUGAAAUCCCAGAGCUUAACUUUGGAACUGCAUUUUUAACUACCGGGCUAGAGUGUGUCAGAGGGAGGUGGAAUUCCGCGUGUAGCAGUGAAAUGCGUAGAUAUGCGGAGGAACACCGAUGGCGAAGGCAGCCUCCUGGGAUAACACUGACGCUCAUGCACGAAAGCGUGGGGAGCAAACAGGAUUAGAUACCCUGGUAGUCCACGCCCUAAACGAUGUCAACUAGCUGUUGGGGUCUUCGGACCUUGGUAGCGCAGCUAACGCGUGAAGUUACCGCCUGGGGAGUACGGUCGCAAGAUUAAAACUCAAAGGAAUUGAC
rnacentral:rRNA from 1 species